rnacentral:lncRNA from 1 species
GGAAAGCCCUGGGGAGGCAGAAGGAAGGGCCAGAUUUGGGAGCAUGCAGACAGGCUUUCCCCCAAGACUGAGACUCUCCACCACCUGGAAACAACUUGCCGAGGGCCAAGGGCACCCUGCCAGGUCUGGAGGCCACCAUCUGGCGGCGUGAAGCAGGCAUUGCAAGUGGAUGGACGCCCAUGCUCAGGGCAUGGUCAGGGUGUGUGUACACACAAGCCUGCAGUCUGCCGAGGCGAUUGUGAAUUUGUGUAUGUUUGAGUGUGUAUGCAUUUGUGCACAUGCUUCUUUGUAUUGAUGAAUGUGUGUGCAUUGCUCUGUGGACAUGGUGUGUGUGUGUGCAUAUCUGUAGUAUGGAAAUAGAGCAUUGUGUGCUUGUGUGUAAGGUGGGUGUGUGCAGAUAUUAGCAUGGCUCUGUAUGUGUGUUCAUAUCUGUAUGCUGUAUGUACACAUGUACAAGUGUGUGCUUUUGUAUGUGAGUAGCUAAGAAUAAUGAAUGGUGGGCGGCACACGUGGAUUUUGUGGGUGGGGAGAGUACAUGUGGAUGUACAUGUAUGUUUGUGAUGAGCACACACAAAUAUGAGUGACAUCUGUCUCUCACCAGAAAGGGUGUCGCCUCCCCAUGUUUAAAAG